rnacentral:piRNA from 1 species
UGGAUGUCAGGAGACACCAAAGCAG